GGAUGCGCAUGAAAGAAUGUGCCACAGAAAAUGAGACACAUCAAUGAGGGUUGUGGAAAAUGCACUAGAAUCAACAAACAUGGGGACUAAUUCAACUCGGAUAUCAUGUCUUCAGAGAAGUUUCUCCUGCCCUCCUCUCCCUGUAGAAUUAAGUAUUCUUCCACUGUGCCACCCUCUAACUUGUGCUCAUAUCUUCCUCUAUUGUAGUUAUGUGUUCACAUCCCUGUUGUUUUUGUACCGGCUUCUCCCAAAGGGAGACAUUUAGUCUUAUUCUUCUUGGUAACUUUAGCACAGACCUGGCAGAUUGUUGACACUCAACAAAUGUUUAUUGACUCAAAUGCAUUCAGUUGAACAUUGACCUUUGAUCAACUCUGGGAAAAGUCUGCAAAGCUAGUUAGGACAUUCAGAAAUUCAUUUCAUUUCAAUCCUAACUAAAUAAAUUAUUGAAGUCUCAGAACUUCUCAGUACUUGAUUUAGACACAUAGAAACUUGGGUAAAUAACA
rnacentral:lncRNA from 1 species